UAGGGAAUCUUCCGCAAUGGACGAAAGUCUGACGGAGCAACGCCGCGUGAGUGAUGAAGGCUUUCGGGUCGUAAAACUCUGUUGUUAGGGAAGAACAAGUACGAGAGUAACUGCUCGUACCUUGACGGUACCUAACCAGAAAGCCACGGCUAACUACGUGCCAGCAGCCGCGGUAAUACGUAGGUGGCAAGCGUUAUCCGGAAUUAUUGGGCGUAAAGCGCGCGCAGGCGGUUUCUUAAG
rnacentral:rRNA from 1 species